GUCAACAAUAGGUACCCUGAACACACACGAUCUCGUCUGAUCUCAGAAGCUUAAUGGGGUUGAGUCUGGUUAGUACUUGGAUGGGAGAAGAAAAAGAGGGUAUUGAAA
ensembl:rRNA 5S_rRNA 5S ribosomal RNA